GGGAGUCUGGCCGAGUGGUUAAGGCGCUGUGUUUAGGUAUUUCCUCUGAAAACUUUGAAACCGCAGUGGGAAACCGCGCAGGUUCGAAUCCUGCGGCUCUCA